AACGAACGCUGGCGGCAUGCCUAACACAUGCAAGUCGAACGAGACCUUCGGGUCUAGUGGCGCACGGGUGCGUAACGCGUGGGAAUCUGCCCCUUGGUUCGGAAUAACAGUUAGAAAUGACUGCUAAUACCGGAUGAUGUCUUCGGACCAAAGAUUUAUCGCCAAGGGAUGAGCCCGCGUAGGAUUAGCUAGUUGGUGAGGUAAAAGCUCACCAAGGCGACGAUCCUUAGCUGGUCUGAGAGGAUGAUCAGCCACACUGGGACUGAGACACGGCCCAGACUCCUACGGGAGGCAGCAGUGGGGAAUAUUGGACAAUGGGCGAAAGCCUGAUCCAGCAAUGCCGCGUGAGUGAUGAAGGCCUUAGGGUUGUAAAGCUCUUUUACUCGGGAUGAUAAUGACAGUACCGGGAGAAUAAGCCCCGGCUAACUCCGUGCCAGCCGCCGCAGUAAC
rnacentral:rRNA from 1 species